AGACUAGUAGCUCAGUUGGUUAGAGCACACCGCUGAUAACGGUGAGGUCGCUGGUUCAAAUCCAGUCUAGUCUA
rnacentral:tRNA from 8 species